rnacentral:rRNA from 1 species
UACGAAGGGGGCUAGCGUUGCUCGGAAUUACUGGGCGUAAAGCGCACGUAGGCGGCUCUUUAAGUCGGGGGUGAAAUCCUGGAGCUCAACUCCAGAACUGCCUUCGAUACUGAAGAGCUUGAGUCCGGGAGAGGUGAGUGGAACUGCGAGUGUAGAGGUGAAAUUCGUAGAUAUUCGCAAGAACACCAGUGGCGAAGGCGGCUCACUGGACCCGGUACUGACGCUGAGGUGCGAAAGCGUGGGGAGCAAACAGG